GCCUCCCAAAGUGGUGGGAUUUCAGGCAUGAGCCACUGUGCCCAACUCAGAACAUUUUAAAUGGGAAAACUGACCUACUAUUCCAAACAAAUGAGUUACAAUGACCCUCAAAUAAAAUUGGUUGAUAAACUGGAUGCUUCUACUAUCAUGUACGCCCUGCUUACAGCAUUUACCAUAGCAUACCUUAUACAGAAAUGUAAACAAACAGGAGUUAGAAUGAUAUCCCUCUAAUGUCAUAUUAUAAGAACUAGCAGUAUGUUAAGAUAUUAAAGAUAAAAGAUUUUUACCACGUAAAAUUAAGACUAUGGCUACUGAACACCUACCACAUUUAAGGUAUAAAUAAUAUCCUCAUGUACUUUGCAACCCUCAAACUAAAAGUACUGAAUCAACAAAAGAUGCACACUAUGCACUACUGAUUGCAUUUUUAAACAACAUGAUUUCCUGUAGAAAUUAACACUGCUAAUGGACUGAGAACUAAAGCACUACAGACAGUACUACACAAUUCAGAAAUCCUUUCUUUUCAGUAAGCUUGAACAAGUCCCAGCCAGGGCUUUUAAGUCAACUGAAGCCUCACGGGAUUCAAAUAGGGCUGUGCAGUCAUCAGCACAGACCAGACUCUGAAACCUGGGAAAGGUGUAAAUCAUACUCUCUCAUGAAAGGAGGCCACCUAAGGGUGCCCAGGCUCCCAGGAACCACACCCCUCUGAAUGGGGCUGUAAAGUUCUUGAUGUAACAGAUGGAACACAGUCAAAACCCUCUUCAGAAACUUCCACAUUUUUACCAGUUCCAUAUCAGAGUUCAAUCACAGGUCAUUUCAAACAACCCAGGAAAGACAUAAAUUAGGCAUAAACUGUUGUUCAAGAUAGAUCAUGUACAAUAGAAAUAAUGAUUAGAACUUUAACUCGACAGUAUUUAGUUCAACAAAAGCCAAGAUAAAGGAAGUUCUUUUAUGUUCAACCCACAACUCCCAAUCAUUUCUUUAACAAAUAUUAGUUCACUGUGAGCCUAUUAUGUGGCAAAAACCACUUAAGUACAAGGAAUACAGCAGUAAACCAGAAAUGUCCCUGCCCGUUUGCUGCUUAUGUUCCAUUACUAAAAUUGCACAGGAGGAUGGGUGGGGGUGGGUGGUGCUCGUUUAGCUGGAAGCUACUGGAGAUACAAGAGCUGGGCUCCCUGCUGUCUCUCCUCAUUCAUUUCCAACCCACUAAUGGCUGGAAAGUUAGGCAUUCCUUGCACUAGGGGUGGCUGUGUGCUACCGUUUCGGCCAAUCACAUACAGACAGAGCUAGGCUAUUAAUCUGCACUUUUAACAUACCCUGAUCCUGGGACUGGUUUUGUCUGAGUGUGAUAGUCUGAUGCUUCUUAAACAGCUGAGUUCAGGCCGGGCAAAGUGGCUCACCCAGCAUACAUAAUUUUUUAUUCACCCAAGAGUUCUCCCUUUCCACAGUAACAAAUUUUAACACUGGCUCUUUACCUAGAUAUUUCUACUUAAGAGUAAUUGAAUAUACUACUAAAUAACCUACUUCGGACUGUUCUUAUUCUUGAGCAACUCAACCAAAUGAGGAUAUCUCUCAGCAGAUUAAGCAAAUAUGCAGAAGUGAAAAAUACGGAGUAUUCUAAUGGGCAGAGUUAAAGACACCCCUUCUGGCUAAAUGUUUGUUAGCAAAACAGGAAGAGAAGUGUAUCAACCAAUUAAAACAGAACCAGAAGAGAUUGUGGUGUUCUUCCCUACUAUGUGAAAGCAAUUCAACACAAGAGAAUACCAAACCAAAAAAUAAGCUGAAGAAAGUCCAACAAGAUUCUGAUCUUUCCUAUGAGUAUUGCAGUUCCUAAGGCCUCCAGAGGUCACAGGUCACAGUGUGAUCCUAGUUUCUCAAUCCAGUCAGUCAUUCAACAAAUUUUCAUACUCAUAUGCAGAACAGAGUCCUCAUUACUAGGGACACACUGAAAGUGAACUCUUUAUUACUCAGCAAAACUCGGUCAGCAGAACCAGCAAAGGAGGUUUGACACACUCUUUCAGGAUAUCCACGUGAAAAGGUGGAGAUAUAUGGGCUAGUUAUAAGAUAUUAAGAGCAUUAGUAGUUAACUGUAACCGAGACUGUGACUCCUUGUAAGCCUUGAGGGAAGCUUCCAGAGACACACUUCGUGUUAUUCAGCCAGUUUAACAAUUUCAUCACCAGCUUAAGUAAAGAUAUAAAAGAUAUAAAAGAGUCUGAUAUAAUGUACAGACAGCAUUUCUUUGGGAGCACAGGUAAAGGUGCCAAAUAAUAUGAUCAAAUUCCAAAAAGCAUGAUGGGAAGAAUCAGCUAAAAUAAAGCAAAACCACAGCGCAAUAAAUGUUAGACUUUGCAGUGACAUCAGCGCAAGAUGGGAAGACGAGGUUCAAUGGCAGCAUGUGAUUAACGGCUCGGGGGUGUUUAGUGAACAGGAAACUCGUUGAGUCUGACCACCGGAAAAGCGAAUGCAAACUUGGACUAUAUCAGUGCAAGCAACAUGCAACCUAUGACACACACUCCUGCUCUACUCUACACAGGUCACGUUACACCAGCCAGGAGCCCAACUCUGACAGAGACUGAAGGAUUUGUUCUGUAGGCCACCAAGGCAGUAGAAUUUGAAUAAACAAGCAGAAUUAGAUUUCAGUUCUGUAGGCCAAAAAAACUUUCUAGUACUCAAAACCAUUAAAAGGUGGAGACCCCCACCCGUUACUUGCAAUGUUCAGGUAUUACUGGAAGACCACUUAUAUAGAGAUUAUAUAAAAGGAUCCAAACAUCAAAGAAGGGUUAGUUGAGCUACUCAAUGAUUUCCAAACCCUGGUCCUUAGUGAAGUUUUCAUUGACCCAUGCAAAACAAAAGUGUCCGUGUUAGGAUAGCUAUAAAUCCACAAGCGGGGUAGUUUUAACACAGCUCCUCUCUGGAUAGGAAGAACUCUCCUUUAGGCCUGACAGCAUACAUAUUCUUCCCCGUUUCCCCACCUUUUCUUUUUUUUGGUACAUCAAACGUAUUUUGACAAAAUGCAUUGACAAUAAGUAGUAACUGCUGUUGUCAAUUUUCAACACACUUAUGCAGCAACAUUAAAUGCUGACAUAUCUGACAAUCCCUAAUAUUUUCUUGUUUGUUUGUUUGUUUGUUUGUUUUCAUUUUACAGGCAGAUGAAAACAAAAGGUAUAGGAACAACAUGACGAGACAAUUUUUAAGGUCCUUUCUGGUCCACAGAUGCUAUGACAACUAGACUCGACUUGCUGCAUAUUUUCUCCCUUCCCACCACCCAACUUGGCUAUAUAGUACUGGGGUGGGAAAACGAACCAAGGAAUUGGGUUUCACUAAAUAUGAAAUCUCUCAAGAAGCAGAACCUCAACAGUGAGUCAAGAUCUGGCUCCCUUCUACAACUGCUAUUCUUUGGAAGCAAAGUUUAUGAAUUAAGUUCAGAAAGGAUCAAAAUAAUCUAUAUCUAAAGUUGGGAGGCUUUUAAAUUCCUAUCACAUUGUUACCACUCUUUUAAAAGGCGUCACAGCUAAAUGCAAUUGGAACAGAAAAAGCAAUUUCUGAAUCAUCGAUUUCAAGGUAAACCAAGUAGCUAUGAUCCUCAUGCAAAGCAUUCACAUAUAAACUUACUAUAGGUCAAGGCAAAGAAAUGACAUAAUCAUGAAAAAUGUAAACUAUCCCAGUCAGACAGGCAUUUUCAUUACUCUAAUACAUUCGUUUUACACGUUAAAGAAACCCCACAUUUUGGUGCUGUAAGGGAUCAUGAAAAUACUUUCAUCCAAAUUCAUUCGUGACAGGUGGUAGAGGCAGGAAGCUCAAGGUUCCUGUCUGUGCCUAAAGCUUUUUCUACUCUCAUCCUGCAAGUGAAUUAGGCACAUUAACAGAAGUAGAAAACCUAGAACACGGUUCAGUAUUCUCUAGGACUGUACUUUGUAUUUCGUUGAAGUUCAAUACAGAAAAAAAAAAAAA